UACACCAUCAACAGUUCGUAGUGACUCA
rnacentral:sRNA from 1 species